GAACUAACAGGUUCACCGUCUUCAUCCAAGCGAAGCCAUGGCGUUGGUUUUUUAUUUGGGGGAAAAUGCUCCUGAUAAGGUGCUGCAUUCAAUCUAUGCUAAGUUGGAAAAUUUCAAAGUCCAGGGUGAUCAAUUUGCCAUGAAGAUUAUGGAGAGGCUGAAGUUAAUUUGAUAUUUGACUCCUGCACGGAGAAAAAAGAGAUGGUAAAUAAUAUGAUUAACAUAACUCUACAAGCACUAUUUACUACUAAAGGCACUUUGUUGAAAUGUAUUAUAGAUUAUAUCAAAUGGCAUAUAUACAGCAAAGUUGGUCGCCUUUGACCAAUUCAGCAAGCAAAAAAUCUAGAUUAUCAAAACUGAUAUCUCCAAGGCAUUUAGGCAAAAGAGUAUACAGUAUCUUGUGUUGAAAAGAGCUUUGCUUGUGAUAGCCAGAAUCUUCAUGCAUGUGUAUCCAUUUGGAAGGAGACCAAUAACAUUUAGAAGUGCAAUUACUAUAAUAAAUUAUGAUUCUACUUGUCAUUAGUGGGAAGAGAAACAGAGGCUUCAAUCAUCAAGAUCACCACUUUAACCUUCUUGGUCAUGCAUGGAGAUUGUUUACAGAAGGCAAAGGCUAUGAAAAUUGUUUGUAAUGCAACAAGAGACACAUCGAAUUUAUUACAGGCAGAUGCUAUUGUGGACUGGUUGUUGUAUUUGGAAAUAUGGAAAACGCCAAGCAAGAAGCAAUUAAGGCUAAUUCAGGUGGAGAACUUUUAAUUGAUACAAAAUAUGAGCCAUUGAUCCCUAAGAAAGAGAAGUCAACUCAAUCAAAGAAGUUUUAGUUUUUUUAAGGGUUUUUUGUUUUUUCUACUUUAUGUAAUGAAAAAUUUUUUUCGCUUGAUUUUUGCAUACAUUUAGCAUCAUUGGCUAUAAAAUCAUCGAUGUACAUUUGGAUUGUAAAUC